rnacentral:rRNA from 1 species
AACGCGAAGAACCUUACCUACUCUUGACAUCCAGCGAACUUAGCAGAGAUGCUUUGGUGCCUUCGGGAACGCUGAGACAGGUGCUGCAUGGCUGUCGUCAGCUCGUGUUGUGAAAUGUUGGGUUAAGUCCCGCAACGAGCGCAACUCUUAUCCUUUGUUGCCAGCGAUUCGGUCGGGAACUCAAAGGAGACUGCCAGUGAUAAACUGGAGGAAGGUGGGGAUGACGUCAAGUCACCAUGGCCCUUACGAGUAGGGCUACACACGUGCUACAAUGGCGCAUACAAAGAGAAGCGACCUCGCGAGAGCAAGCGGACCUCAUAAAGUACGUCGUAGUCCGGAUUGGAGUCUGCAACUCGACUCCAUGAAGUCGGAAUCGCUAGUAAUCGCGAAUCAGAAUGUCGCGGUGAAUACGUUCCCGGGCCUUGUACACACCG